GAGGAAGGUGGGGAUGACGUCAAAUCAUCACGGCCCUUACGUCCUGGGCCACACACGUGCUACAAUGGCAGGUACAGAGAGCAGCCACGUCGCAAGGCGGAGCGAAUCUAUAAAACCUGUCACAGUUCGGAUCGGGGUCUGCAACUCGACCCCGUGAAGCUGGAAUCGCUAGUAAUCGGAUAUCAGCCAUGAUCCGGUGAAUACGUUCCCGGGCCUUGUAC
rnacentral:rRNA from 1 species